GGGGGGGGACCGUGCCAGGCCGCGAUCAGCCAAUUUCCGCAUCCAGCUGACACUCCCUAAAAGCCUGGCAAAAUAUGCGACCGUCUUGCAAGUUACGUUGCGAUUCCCGUGCAGGCCUGGCUGAUGCCCAUUAGCCACCGCUACUUUUCUGCCCUCUCCAACGAAAACAAACGACACAGUUGACUGGAACGACUUGUGACUUGUCGCAAAUUGCGGGCUGUACGUUUUCAUCUGUCAAAACCCGACCGAGCAUUAUUAUCUUUGCAAAGAUUUGUUUUUGAUGCGGCUCUUGUACUGGAUUUUAUGAGACUGUCCCUAAUAUUUUGCCCACCUGUACUUAUUGCAAUCAGAUAAUGUCACUGGA